rnacentral:rRNA from 1 species
AUUACAGAGUUCAUGCCCUAACGGGUAGAUCUCCCACCCUAUGUUAUUAUUACUUUGUUGCUUUGGCGGGCCGUUAGGCUCACGCCCGGCCACCGGCUUCGGCUGGUGAGUGCCCGCCAGAGGACCCAAAACCCUUUUUAUUAGUGUCGUCUGAGUACUAUAUAAUAGUUAAAACUUUCAACAACGGAUCUCUUGGUUCUGGCAUCGAUGAAGAACGCAGCGAAAUGCGAUAAGUAAUGUGAAUUGCAGAAUUUAGUGAAUCAUCGAAUCUUUGAACGCACAUUGCGCCCCUUGGCAUUCCGAGGGGCAUGCCUGUUCGAGCGUCAUUACAACCCUCAAGCUAAGCUUGGUAUUGGGCUUUUCGCCACUAACCUGGCGGGCCUUAAAAUCAGUGGCGGUGCCGCCGUGGCCCUGAGCGUAGUAAAUAUCCUCGCUAUAGGGACCCGGUGGACGCUGGCCAGCAACCCCCAACUUUCUAAGUUUGACCUCGGAUCAGGUAGGGAUACCCGCUGAACUUAA